UUACUGAGGCCCGUCCAGCUCAUCCCAGCCAGGGUAUGGCUGUCGGGGGCUGGAGCUAGAGGGAGCGCUGUCCGAAGGGCAGCACACUGACACUGUGCCUGCAGCUGGUAAGAGACGUGCCUGCGUGUGCCCGUCAGUUACCAGCAGGCCAGUGACGUCGGCCCACGUGUCUCACGCCUCCUCUCCCUGCCCAGCGCCCACAAUAGAGGAGCAGAGCCAACUACACUACACGCAGAAUGUGACCGCGCACCACUCUGCACCUGUAUAUAUUUACUUGAAAUUCACGCCGCUGGAGGAAACAGCCAAUCAUGCAACAGGACUCGCUGCUAAUCUGCCCAGCAACUCGCCGGCCCUAAGAAAGAACUCGAGAGAAAAGAAUGUGACCGCGCACCACUCUGCACCUGUAUAUAUUUACUUGAAAUUCCCGCCGUUAGAGGAAACAGCCAAUCAUGCAACAGGACUCGCUGCUAAUCUGCCCAGCAACUCGCCGGCCCUAAGAAAGAACUCAAGAGAAAAGCCUACUAGAUUCGACGAAAAGACCAGCCUACGACGACUUCUCCCUCGGAUGACUCCUCUUCUUUUAAUCUGACCUCCUAAGUCAAGUCAUUAUGGACUCAGCCUUCAUACCUUCAAGAUGAAGAUUUGACCUGCCUAACUGUUUAUGACGCAGAUAUGGAUUGUUUUUCUCCUAUACACAUCAAAGAAAGGAGACGUUAUUAGGUCACCUGGACUUAUAUCACCUCUCAUGAAGUAUGAUUGGUCAACACACCUACACCUGUUCAACAUGUUUGGUUGUACUGUUAAAG